UUGAAUUUCCUGAGGGGUAGGCCUUGAACUAGGGAAGGGCUGGGGACUGGGCUUGUUCCACACCCCUCAUUUUUACCCCAUCCUGCUUUAGAAAUACCAGAUCCUGUUAUAUAAUGGAGAUGUAGACAUGGCCUGCAAUUUCAUGGGGGAUGAGUGGUUUGUGGAUUCCCUCAACCAGAAGAGGGCAAGUGUGGAGGAAUUCCCAGCCCUAAGGUCUUGCUGGUAGCUGUGAGCAAGGAUGCAGCUGCUGUAGGCUGAUGUCUUUCCUGGUGGGGCAGAUGGAGGUGCAGCGCCGGCCCUGGUUAGUGAAGUACGGGGACAGCGGGGAGCAGAUUGCCGGCUUCGUGAAGGAGUUCUCCCACAUCGCCUUUCUCACGAUCAAGGGCGCCGGCCACAUGGUUCCCACCGACAAGCCCCUCGCUGCCUUCACCAUGUUUUCCCGCUUCCUGAACAAGCAGCCAUACUGAUGACCACAGCACAGCUCCAUGGCCUGAUGCAGCCCCUCCCAGCCUCUCCCGCUAGGAGAGUCCUCUUCUAAGCAAAGUGCCCCUGCAGGCCAGGUUCUGCCGCCAGGACUGCCCCCUUCCCACAGCCCUGUACAUCCCAGACUGGGCCCAGGGUCUCCCAUAGACAGCCUGGGGG
rnacentral:sRNA from 1 species